AAAGGAAAUAAGAGCGCACAG
rnacentral:rRNA from 1 species